GGCUUAGGAUGAACGCUAGCGACAGGCCUAACUCAUGCAAGUCAGGGGCAGCACAAGGAGCAAUCUGAGGUGGCGACCGGCGCACGGGUGAGUAACACGUAUGCAACCUGCCUGUAAGCGGGGAAUAACCCGUUGAAAGACGGACUAAUACCGCAUAAUACUAAAUUACUGCAUGGUAAUUUAUUUAAACAUUUAUGGCUUACAGAUGGGCAUGCGCAUGAUUAGCUAGUUGGAGAGGUAACGGCUCCCCAAGGCAACGAUCAUUAGGGGUUCUGAGAGGAAGGUCCCCCACACUGGUACUGAGACACGGACCAGACUCCUACGGGAGGCAGCAGUGAGGAAUAUUGGUCAAUGGACGAGAGUCUGAACCAGCCAAGUCGCGUGCAGGAAGAAUGUCCUUAAUGGAUUGUAAACUGCUUUUGCAGGGGAAUAAAGUGCAUCACGUGUGAUGUUUUGUAUGUACUCUGCGAAUAAGGAUCGGCUAACUCCGUGCCAGCCGCUGC
rnacentral:rRNA from 1 species